AGAACGAACGUUAGCGGCGCGCCUAACACAUGCAAGUCGAGCGAGAAGGGAGUAAUCCCUGUAAAGCGGCGCACGGGUGAGUAACACGUAGGUAAUCUGCCUCGAGGUGGUGGAUAACCUUCCGAAAGGAGGGCUAAUACAGCAUGAGACCACGUCUUCGAAAGAGGAUGAGGUUAAAGCGGGCCUCUAUACAUAAGCUCGCGCCAUGAGAUGAGCCUGCGGCCCAUCAGGUAGUUGGUAGGGUAAUGGCCUACCUAGCCAAAGACCGGGUAGCUGGUCUGAGAGGAUGAUCAGCCACACUGGAACUGAGACACGGUCCAGACUCCGUACGGGAGGCAGCAGGUGGGGAAUCUUGCGCAAGUGGCGAAAGCCCUGACGCAGCGACGCCGCGUGAGUGAUGAAGGUCCUUGGGUAGUAAGC
rnacentral:rRNA from 1 species